rnacentral:rRNA from 1 species
CGAAUUGUAGUUUAGAGAAGUGUUUUCUGGGAUGGCUUUGGCAUAAGUCCUUUGGAAAGAGGCGUCGAAGAGGGUGAAAACCCCGUUUUUAGUUAAAUGACCAUUCCUUUGUGAUACACUUUCGAAGAGUCGCGUUGUUUGGGAAUGCAGCGCUAAAUGGGUGGUAAAUACCAUCUAAAGCUAAAUAUUGGCGAGAGACCGAUAGCGAACAAGUACCGUGAGGGAAAGAUGAAAAGAACUUUGAAAAGAGAGUUAAAUAGUACGUGAAAUUGUUAAAAGGGAAACGCUUGGCACCAGUGUUGUGGAUAGUAAUCAGCUAAUUUUUUUACGAAAAUUAGUGCACUUGCUAUUAGCAGGUCAACAUCAACUUGAUUUGAAGUAAAAAGAGUAGGAAAGUCCCUUUGUGGUCGAGCCUACUUUCUGCUUUGGAUUGGGUUGAGGAAAAAGUAAUUUUGAUGUUGACGAAAUGGUAUCAAACGACCCGUCUUGAAACACGGACCAAGGAGUCUAACAAAUAUGCGAGUAUAUGGGUG